CCAGCCUCUCCCACCCGCCGCCACACGCGCCGACAGCGCGUGGGUGUGUAGAGUAAUUCCGGCAACGAAAAAAUUCCACACCCGAGCUCACCCUUCCUACCCUAGCUCCUACUCGAGGUCAGGAUCACUUCAUUCAACUACGGGAAGGCCCAAUUCGGGCGGCAACUGGCCGGAAUUUCAUUUUGAAAUCCGGCCAAAACCUAGAUUUUCAAAAUCCAAUCCUACCCAGCAAAACAAUCCAAACCUAUACAACCAUCAGCUAGAACUCGAAAAAUGGAUGAGAAACCAUACCUCAUUCACCGGGUUUGGGUAGCGGAGGCGGCGGCGCGACGGCGGGAAAGCUCCGGUUCAAAAUCGUCGAGCUCGCAGCCGAAUUUUGUAGUUUCCGACGGGGAAAACGGGCAGGUCUUGAUCGGGACGACGAGGCGAGUCGAUUGGGACCGGUCUCGUGUCUUGCCGUGGCCGGAGCUGAGAGAACCGAGGAGAGAGAGUCGGCGUCGGGGAGAGAGAGAGACUGAGGAGAGAGAGAGUGUCGAGCGUGCGCGAGGAGAGAGAGAGCUGAGAUGAAAAAUCUGAUUUUUUACCACAUUUUUUGAAUUAUUUACAGUUUUGCCACUGAUACUAUUUUGCCCGUAACUUUUUCGUUACAAUUCCGAUUCAAGCCUACCGCAUGUCAAUGAAUUCGUUUCAGAACCGCCUACUCAAAAAUACCAUCCACGGUCCCAAAAUCCUUCCGAAGAAGAAAGUGACCAAUUUACCCCUACCCCUAAGGGUAAAUUCGUAAUUUUAUUCAAAUAGAUUAAAAUAAACAUUUAAUUUGGAGUCGGGGUGUUACAAUCUACCCCCCUUAUAAAAAUUUCGCCCUCGAAAUUCACGUACCUGUUAAUGGAAAAGAUAAGGGUACUUGACCCUCAUUUGCGCCUCAGGCUCCCAUGUAGCUUCUUCCACGGUUUGGCUUCUCCACAGAACCUUCACUACUGGAAUGGAUUUAGAGCGCAACAUUUGUUCUUUCCUAUCUAAAAUUUGCAUAGGUUGCUCCUCAUAUGACAAAUCUUCUUCUAACUCCACAGGUUGAUAUUCUAAAAUAUGAGAAGGGUCUGAAAUAUAUUUCCGAAGCAUAGAUACAUGAAAUACAUCAUGCACUCGAGACAGUUCUGCUGGUAAUGCAAGUCUAUAAGCAACCGGUCCGAUGCAUUCAGUAAUCUCAUAGGGUCCAAUAUAACGAGGGCUUAACUUCCCAUGCUUCCCGAAUCUCAUCACACCCUUCCAAGGAGAUAACUUCAGAAACACCCAAUCCCCAACUGCAAAUUCAAGAUCUUUGGACCUAUUAUCUGCAUAACUCUUCUGUCGGUCUUGUGCGAUCUUCAGCUUCUCUUUAAUCAUCUUCACUUUUUCGGUUGUUGCUCGAAUACUUUUCACUUUUUCUAAUUUCUUAUCUCCCACUUCGUUCCAACAAAUAGGAGUCCUACACUGUCUCCCGUAUAACGCCUCAUAAGGAGCCAUCUUUAUACUCGCAUGAUAACUGUUAUUAUACGCAAAUUCCACAAAGGCAAGGUGUGUAUCCCGUGAAUCUUUCAUCUGCAGCACACAUGACCUCAACAUAUCCUCCAAAGUCUGGAUAGUUCUUUCUGAUUGUCCAUCAGUCUGUGGGUGAAAAGCUGUGCUGAAUUGCAACCUAGUACCCAUAGCUUCUUGCAAACACCUCAAGAAUCGAGAAGUGAAUCGGGCAUCUCUGUCCGAUACAAUGGACACAGGUGCUCCAUGUAACCUCACAAUCUCGUCCGGGGUAGCAUAUGCUUCCUGCUGAGACAUAGAGAACACACGGGCUUGAGUAGUGGAGCGCCCAGGUUGACCCCUUGAUUGCCUACCACCUCUGCCUCUAGAAUAUGACGAUGCCUUACUACUGGAUGACCCUGCUGCAGAGGAAGAAACACCACCUUGAUUCUGAUUCUGACCCAUAAUACCUUGCCCCUGCUAGGCCCCAGUUCCCUGAUUUAUUGCAUCAUUCUGGAGUAUAAUUGGGCAGCUUCUCUUAGUAUGCCCCACUUGCCCACAAAAGUAGCAUGUCAGGUUGCUACUCUGGCUUGGUCUACCUCCCUGAGUGUAGCUGGGACAAUCUUUCGCAAAAUGCCCAACUUGUCCACAAUUAAAACAUGUCAACCCAGUGUGCCUAGAAGGAGCCCUGGCUGUGCUAGCUACAGAUUGUGGUCCCGAAUACUGAGUCCAAGCCGGACGAGAACCGGAUCUCCCACUGCUAGAACUAGAUCCCCGUCCUCCUGACCAUCCCCCACUAACAGAACUUGAACUAGAUCAUCCCCUCUUUGAUGGACUCUGACUGGGCCCACCAAUUCCUGAUGUAUCCCUACGGCGCCUACCUACAUUUCCACCAAGCUUCCUUGACACCCUUUCAGCUGCCUGAGCCAAAGCCCUCAUAUUUGGAUAAAUGUUAGCGGUAACCACUGCUUGAAUUUCCCACCAUAAACCUUCCUCAAAGAGUCUACAUCUGUCCUCCUCUGUGGCAACCAACUCUGGAGAAAAUCUGGACAACUCAUGAAACUUGUGUUCAUACUCCAUUACUGACAUAGACCCCUUUUUACUGCUUUCCACCAAUGAUAUGCAUUGCUCUUGAGUAGAAAGGUAGCCAAACGAACUCUAUCCUCCGCUGGGCAUUCCAGAACCUCAAAAAAAAUUUCCACAUCCGUAAUCCAUGAUUCUGCUUCUGCUGGGUCUGUACUACCCAUGAAUUCUUUGGCUCCAAGUUCCUUAACUCUCUUAAUUUCUGAAUUUUCCGUACCACGCCUUCCCCGUAAGGCUGUAGCCAUUAUGCGAGUAAACUGGCUGAGCACAUGCCUCAUAUCCAAAGCAUUAUCUCCAGCAGGUGGAGAUGGUGGAGGUGAAGGUAGUGGUGGUGAAGGAGGGGGUGAUGGAGAUGGAGGUGGAGGAUUCGGCCCCCAUCUUUGCCUGCAACCUCUUGUCCUAGCUCUGCGAGCUGACAUGAUUCUACACAAAGAAAUCAUGAAAUCAUUAGAUCAACAAUGCAGCAAAAGUGCAAUAGUCGAAGGAAAAUGAACCUAAUGCUCUUAUACCAAGCUGACAGGACCCGCCUCGAAAAAUCCCGAAGACCGAAGCGGACCUCGUCUUUAUUCCGACAUCAUCCCGAUGCUGGGCCCACCUACUAAGAAAUCGAGGCUUUCUACCAAAAUUUUGGCAUAGUCUCCCUUGUAAUUUAAACAAUCCCAACAAAAAUUACUCAACCUGCAACAUACACACAAUAUAAUAAUCCCAACCAGUAGCAAGCUUUCACAAAUCUACAAGUCAUACUAGACUGGCAUCCGGCCUCACAAGUAAAAUCUAUCAUGGGCAAUACAGAACAUCUACUGAAUUUAGAUUAAAAUAAGAACAGUUGAGUAGAAGAAAUUACUCAGUUCCUAACUAGAAAGAUGCACAGUUUGAGCUUCGUACACCACUUGCACGCUUCCUGGAGCGACUACUGGCUGGGGGGCGCAAAACAGAAAAUAUAUGUGAGUGGACAAAAACCAGAUUUGCAAUUAAAAACAAUAUAGUAACCCCACCAUGUAAAAAUAAUGCUCAAGUCAUGCAGGUUUACAAUUCAAUACUUAAUUACUCAAAACAUGCUUCAUUAAAACUCUUCAAAAAAAAAAAAAAAAAACCAGUUAUCUCCUUCAAAAAGAAACCCACUCUCUCAAUCUUUCAACUCCUAUCAAACUACUAAACAAACUCUAAAUCCUUACACACUCAACUAUACAUAUACAUAUAAAUAUACAUAUAUAUAAAUAUAACUAUAGAGAGCUAUAUGAUAUACUCAUCACACCACCUAGGUACCGGGGAAAACAAUCCAACUGGGGAUCGUUUGACUAGUCCGCAGGAUUUCCAGGUGCUAUCCUGCAUCUAGGCAUGAGCGGUCCAACCGGGGGACGAAACUCCAAAGCUCCCACACCGGAACAUUCAACGCCAUGUGUAGCUCCCAAACUAUGUCCUACGCGCGCAGACUGGAUCAUCACACAUCGGAACAUCCAACGCCAUGGUGAUGACCCUAAACAUUAUACAAAGUCUUUCCAUAUGCCGGAACAUCCAACGCCGCACAUGGAAAGUGUCUCACACGCCGGAACAUCCAACGCCGCGAGUGAGACUAGUAAUUGGGGAAGGUACUUACGUAGUGUAACCACACAACUUCUCUCCAAACUCACAUUCUUCCACAUCACCCUCCAACAACCCAAGUAUCUCGUCUAAAGAGAAUAUAUAAAUAUACUUCCCCACAACCCAUAUAAAAUGCACUCUCAAAACCCACAAUGCCAAACUCACAAUAUAUUGCCAAGUGCUAUACAACCAUCAUAAUCAACUCAUGAAUAUAAUAUAUAUUCCAUAAGCCAUUAAAACAUUAUGCAAAAAUCUUUCAUCAAUUAAAACCAAGCAUAUGAAUGAAAACGAAGUCCACUCACAAGUAUUCCCUCGCUGCCUGACCACGUGAGGGUCUUGCUUGCUGCGUACGUGUAGUCAAAACACCUAUUUCGAGAUACGAACCGUUAAUUAAUAUAAAAUUACGUCAAAGCGGAAAUCACAAAUUAAACGCUUAAAUCCCCAAAUUCCCCAUACGUGCACGUGGAAGAAGGUAUCCUAAGGUCCGAUUACAGGUUUAGGAAUCGUUCACGAUUUUACGGUUAUUGCUAACCCGCAAACUUUGCAUUAUUGAAUUGGAACAUCCGGGGCUCCGAUUCAGAAUUCGUGAAGUCCCAUAUGGUCCAAGGAAUACCUAGAACAACAUAUUUUAAUUCGGGAAAGAUCUAACGGUCGGAACCUAUCGAACCCGGAUAACGCACAAUAUGCGAAAAUCCGUUCGAUAGUCAAACGACAUCCGAAUUGAGAUCCGCAAAUUCCUAUGCGCUCGUGACAACCUAAGGAUCUCUUCGGGUUAAUUUACAGCUCCACCAGCCUCGUCCACGCUCCGCCACACGCGCCGGCAGCGCGUUUGUGUGUAGAGUAAUUCUGGCAACGGAAAAAUUCCACACUCGAGCUCACCCUUCCUACCCUAGCUCCUACUCGAGGUCAGGAUCACUUCAUUCAACUACGGGAAGGCCCAAUACGGGCGGCAACUGGCCGAAAUUUUAUUUUGAAAUCCGGCCAAAACCUAGAUUUUCAAAAUCC
rnacentral:lncRNA from 1 species